rnacentral:rRNA from 1 species
GUCAACGGCCAUACCACGUUGAAAUCACCGGUUCUCGUCCGAUCACUGAAGUUAAACAACUUCGGGCGUAGUUAGUACUUAGUGGGAGCCCGCUUGGGAACUCUGCGUGCUGUUGACU